rnacentral:lncRNA from 1 species
GCCUAUUUAGAAUAUUGAACAUAUUAUCAUGCACUUUAAUGGGAGGCUAUGAUCUAGUUAUCCUCAUAACUAGCUCAUUUUAUCGACCUAAUAAUUUAGAAGAUUUAGUUAAUAUAUUUUAUAAGACAUCAAUCGACCUGCAAGUUAUACAUUCUCUCAAUAACUUCAUCAAGUCAUGUAAAGGGACUAGAGAUUAGUUGGUCCAAUCAGUAAGUCAUAAAUCCUCCUACUGACUUCACCAAAUCAUAAAAAGAAAUUAGAGACAAGUCGGUCC